ensembl:lncRNA
GCAACGCGUGGGAAGGCGGAUCUUUGGCUUCUGGUCGAAUUCCGACCAGAGCAAACGCCGUGUCGUCGCCCCGCCCCUCCCGCGCCACACGAAGCCGGCGGUGGCCCGCAAUUCUACCUUUGGACCUGGGGUACCAGACAUGGGACAGCCCACGAAGUCCCAAGGGCUCUUCUGAGGACGUUCAGAGUUCCCACGGCAGCAGGAAGAGGACAACUGCAAAGAGCAAAGGGACUUUUUAAAAUUUUUCCUGGCGGGAAUUUCACCUCAGGGCAGAAAACUCUAGAAAUACCAGCAGAGCAGGCGCAUUUGAAGGAGGCCUAAAAGCCCCUCCCCGUCGCUCACCCGGAACGGGUUUCCUCUCAUUGCACUGCGCCCAAAGCUGUAGAGACGGCCGCCGGCUGGCGAGUCAGGCGCCCGCUGGCGUCGCGGAGGAAGCCUCUCGCGGCGGAGUGACAAGCGCGCCGGGGUGACAAGCGCGCCGGGAGGGAGGGAAGUCCUGGGACCGCGCGGUUGCGAACCACACGGCUCAGCUGGUGGAGAGCGAGACGGCCGUGUUUCCACGGUGUGAUGGCAGCACUUUGGACUGAAUCCAGCGAUCCGAGUUAGAGUCUCCAUGGGACGUUUCCCUUUAGGCCGCACGCAGAGUCUUCUACUGGCGCAGCCGGAACUCAGUCUCCUCCUGAAAGCGAACUGCGCCUCCGGUGCGCGCUGAGUGGACCUACUCUCCCGCCCCAGAGCCCAACUCGUCCUGCUCUCGGGACCAGAACGUCUGGGUCCCGCGGAGGAGGCCCUGGGCCCCCGUGCUCUGCCGCCUCCUCCUCAGCAGUCGAGGUCCGAAACCUGCUGCUUUGAGAAGCACAGGUGCGUGGACCACGAGGAGGUGGGGGACGAGCCCGUGGCGUCCCCGCAGGACCCUGUGGCUCUGCCGGUCAAUGGUCAUCGGAGGCCCGGCCCCGCCGCCAAAGGGCGCAGCGACCGAAGCACUGCCACCCCCUGUCGGGUCACCCUGGGUCUCGAGAACUUCUCGCUCCUAAGUCUCCUUUGGACACGAAAAACUGCUGUUAGGCUAAGACUUGAACCUUGACUCCAGGAAAUCUUGUCCUUUCAUCCCAAACUCAGCCAGAAAGAGGAGUCUGGCCGGUGUAUUCCAGCGUCUGAGAUCAGGGGUUGGCCACCCACGCCUUUGAGACACUUGCAGAUCUUAUAGUUGGGGCCAGAAUAGUGAAUAUAUUCUAGUUAGAUUUGAGUUGGAAACAGCAUUCACUUUUUUAUCAUUAUAUAAUUAACUUUUUAAAUGUCACUUCUAGACAUUGGAAACACGAUGUAACUUUGGUGGAACAACCAUAUAGAUGAGAACUAUAAAAGAGAAUAAUUUAUAUGUACCCUGGAACAGUGACAAAAUUUUUUAAAAAGCUGCUUUCCUUAAUUGUGUUAUUAUUGACAUUGUUGGUAUUUAUUCUUAUUCCAAAUGAUGUGGGGAAAAGCAAAGGAGAUUGUAUGAAAUCUUGUAUUUCUAUUACUCCCCGUGUCCUUAAAAACAAAAAUCCUGGUAUACAGAAAAGAGGCAGAUGAAAGAUAAACAUUCAAUAAAGCCUGACAUUCUGAAUUUGAAUAUAUACAUUCAUACAAAGAUGAGUAUGCAUUUCUUAGCUCUGUCCACUGGAAAUGCCUAGAAACAAACCAAAUCCAGGAAACAUCUUAAGGUUAUAAUUUGAUUUGGGAAUAACAUUUUGCACAAAAGGAAACCAGAGAUUCUUAGACAAAUGACUGAGUCCAGGUCAGGGGCAGAAAAUAUUCAGGAUCAAAGAGAUGCACCUUAUAGUGUUAUCAAGAAAGGUCUCAAAUACUAUUAGAAACUUUUCAAAAGAGUUGAGGAGCCAGCUUAAAGUCACUUUCACUGUCAAAAGAGAGAGAAUUUAAGUAUUGAUAAGAGCUAUAUUGCAAUGAAUUGAAAUACUUCACUGUGUUUAAAUUUUUGAAUUCAUAUUAGCACAUAGAGUAAAAAGGAAAUAAAUGAACUAGUGACCACAGAGGAUGCUUGGAGUAUUGCUCAUUAAGCUGCAGUUUUCUUUACAGAGGGUACCACUGAGUAACUAAACAGUAUUUAGUAUUUAGGAGAGGUUUCUUUUUAUGCAAGUAUUCCAGUUAAAUACUACAUGAUGAUGGAAUAUCACCAUUUAGUGCCACAGAAUCAGUAAAUGGAUUGAGAGGUCUUGAACUAAAAGGGCUGGUAAUACUAUUUGAAGAAACACACAGGACUUGAUGUGCCUCCUCACAAGAGUGCACACCACUUCUGAAGUAGUCUUGGCAGGCUUGCAAGUGUGAAUCUCAUCAGUCUCUGUAUCAACAGGUCCAAAGUAGGGACCACUAGACAUAUGGCUGUUGAAUAGUUACAAAGUAGUAGGACUGAGGACCUGGAUUUUCAUUUAUAAUUCGUGUGACUGUAACCUUAAAAGUUGGAGACAUGCACAAUAUUUUUCUAAUAAAC